CUCAUUGAAUUGCACGUUGAAUUUUAUAAUUGCAGUUAACAUGGUUAAGUGAAAAGAAAAACUUUUUAAUUUGUAACACUGUUGAUAUUUGUUAUAAUUCCUAAACUCUUCGCUCCUUCUCUCUCCCAAAAAAAUCUCGGUACUAGCAAUAUCUUCACAGUCCGCUUAAACUCGCUGGAGACGAGGAAGGACUUGAAUUUCCUGUUCUAGUCUCCGUGGAGUUUCGUUUCUUCAGCUUUGAUAGUAUGUUAGUCUCUUGGAUAGCUCUAUCUGGGAUUUGCAAUUUUCUGAUCGAAGGGUCAUCAAUUCAUCAUCAAUUGAAAUAACCAAAGGUUCUUGGGUUAAUUGAGUACCCUAGCGUUCGGUGUUUAGUGAUUCCGUCAGGCCUUUCCAAAGAUGAGCAUACACAAAGUUUGGUAUUUCGUGGCCAACAACCGGUACCCCUAAUUGCCAGUCUGGAAAUGGAUUACGUUAAAGGAAAAGCAAAACAUGCUCAAGUUUUAAGAAAAUAGAUAGUUAACAAAAGGAGAAAUCGAUGCGUAUCAUCCUCUGGACCGUUCCUAAGAGAGGUUAGAAGACCAGUCAAAAGACCCAUGACAGUUAUAAUUGAGACUUCACCCAACUCAACAAGUGUACAUCCUACUCCAAGUCGCGGAAGAGAACAGUGUCGUCAAAGUGAGAACGAACAACUGACGAUAUCAGAAGAUACAGAUCAACGGGUCGGAAACCUAAACUCAGAAUCACCAAAUGGUAAAAGAAAAGUAUUGUAGGUCAUGUUUAAUGAUUGUUUAUAUUUUUCGUCCACACAGUAGGUAAUCACAUUUUGAAAGACAAAUAUUGAGCAAACACAAAGUUUGGGAUUUCAUUGCCAACAACCUAUACCCCACACUACCAGACUGGACAUAGAUUAUGUUAAAGGCA